rnacentral:rRNA from 1 species
UGAAUACGAGAUGCUACGGCGUCGAAGCAGUCUAUGUCGUACUUCCAAGAAAAGCUUGCACUGUCAUAAACAAAUAAUGCCUGUACCAUAACCGACACAGGUGGGUAGGUAGAGUAUACUAAGGGGCGCGAGAUAACUCUCUCUAAGGAACUCGGCAAAAUGACUCCGUAACUUCGGGAGAAGGAGUGCCUUAUUUUAUAAGGUUGCAAUAACAAGAUCCAAGCAACUGUUUACCAAAAACACAGGUCUCCGCUAAGUCGUAAGACGAUGUAUGGGGGCCGACGCCUGCCCAGUGCCAGAAGGUUAAAGAAGUUGGUUAGCAUCCGCGAAGCUGAUAACUGAAGCCCUGGUGAACGGCGGCCGUAACUAUAACGGUCCUAAGGUAGCGAAAUUCCUUGUCGGGUAAGUUCCGACCCGCACGAAAGGCGUAAUGAUUUGGAUACUGUCUCAGAGAGGGGCUCGGUGAAAUAGACUUGUCUGUGAAGAUGCGGACUACCUGCACCAGGACAGAAAGACCCUAUGAAGCUUUACUGUAACUUGAAAUUGAAAUUGGACUUACUUGCGCAGUAUAGGUGGGAGGCGUUGAGAAUAUUCUUGCGGGAAUGUUGGAGCCAUCAGUGAGAUACCACUCUUGUAAUGUUAGAUUUCUAACUUUGUAUCAUUAUCUGGUCAAAGGACAGUUUCAGGCGGGCAGUUUGACUGGGGCGGUCGCCUCCCAAACGGUAACGGAGGCGCACAAAGGUUUCCUCUGAACGGGUAGAAAUCGUAUCUAGAGUGUAAAGGCAUAAGGAAGCUUGACUGUGAGACCUACAAGUCGAGCAGGGACGAAAGUCGGUCUUAGUGAUCUGACGGUGCUGAGUGGAAAGGCCGUCACUCAACGGAUAAAAGUUACUCUAGGAUAACAGGCUGAUCUCCCCCAAGAGUUCACAUCGACGGGGAGGUUUGGCACCUCGAUGUCGGCUCAUCGCAUCCUGGGGCGGUAGUACGUCCCAAGGGUUGGGCUGUUCGCCCAUGAAAGCGGUACGCGAGCUGGGUUCAGAACGUUGUGAGACAGUUCGGUCCAUAUCCGGUGUAGGCGUUAGAAUAUUGAGAGGAGCCUUCUUUAGUACGAGAGGACCGAGAAGGACAUACCUCUGGUGUACCAGUUAUCGUGCCAACGGUAAACGCUGGGUAGCUAUGUAUGGAGUGGAUAACCGCUGAAAGCAUCUAAGUGGGAAGCCCACCUCAAGAUAAGUAUUCUC